AAACGCUCUCUAGGAAAUACAGUCGCGGAGCCAUACUGCGUUGACUUUGUUUCAUCUGUUCUCCAUUCACCUGAAAAUGGUGCUUCCCGACGCCAAAGAAGAGCCGGUAUACCAAAAUGUCAUCGUUAUCUGGCAUGGGGAGCUGAUCGAUGACGUUUUUCCGCUGUGGAUCAUCGGUGGCCAUUGGCCGUUGAAUCACGAGGGCGAGAUCCGGGCCUUUGCAACGGCCUGAGCCUCUGACACCAUCUCACGUUCCUCAUCACCGGAUCUUCGUCUCCCCUUUAUCUGCUGCCUCCAGACCGCCUCUAAGAUCUUCCAUGCCUUCUGCGCUGUCGCCACUAACCUCAACGUCUUCUCCCCCGACUCUUUCGCUAUUCAUCCUUCCAAAAUCAAGGUUAUUUUAAUGGUACCCAGGCUGCUUGGAGGAUAUGCCUAACUAAUAAGGUUCCAGUACAGAGAAAACUUGAUCUUGCUUAGAAUUUGGGGAUACUAGAACUCUGACAAAGGGAGAUCCAAUUGGCCUUCCUAAGUUUUUCUCAACUGACAAAGCUCACAGCUUUGUGUGUGUUACUAACUUACCUUCCCUUUUCAUCCUUGGUUCCUUUAAUCUAUAUAGAACGUUUUGUAUUAUCCUUUUCAUAUUUGUCCCCCCAAUUUUGUUGUGCAUUUUGCAGGUUUGUAUUGAGUUUGGAUUGUCUGGAGUCUUGAACAUAGAAGCAUAAGAACAGUUGCACCCUCAGAGGAUGGGAUUUUAAAUUUGAUAUCUCAGUGUGAAGCUCAGUUACCAGCAGGGACUGCAAAUCAUACUGCGGAAAUAGUGUAUAUAUAACAAGGUAUUCUGAGAAAUCAAUUCUCUAUGUUUGAAAGGGGUAUUCAAGGUGUGUGGGGUUCACUUUUACAUGUGAAACUAUAGCUGCCCGGGCGAGUGGCUAGAGACUUGGCCAAGAGUAAGAGGGCAAGGUAUAGGUAUAUAGAACUUGUGGAGGCACAUGCUGAUAAAUAUAUCCACUGUAGAACUGUUUGCGAUUCGUGGUAAAGUUGGGACCAAUUUUCUUGCUUU